rnacentral:rRNA from 1 species
GUGCCAGCCGCCGCGGUAAUACGUAGGACCCGAGCGUUGUCCGGAAUUACUGGGUGUAAAGGGCGUGUAGGUGGACCUCUCAGUCGGUGGUGAAAUCCUGCGGCUCAACCGCAGAACUGCCGCCGAUACUGGAGGUCUUGAGUACGGCAGAGGGAGAUGGAAUUCAUGGUGUAGCGGUGAAAUGUGUAGAUAUCAUGAAGAACACCGGUUGCGAAGGCGGUCUCCUGGUCCGUUACUGACACUGAGGCGCGAAAGCGUGGGGAGCAAACAGGAUUAGAAACCCUAGUAGUCC